AUAUAUAUAUAUCUGAAGAUGAUCAAUUUCUAGUGUCAUUUCGUGACAAUAGGUCCUCCUCUAACAUAUGCAUCAAUUCGAUCUCCUCCAUCUCCUCAAAACGUCGGGUAAUGAGCGGAUUUUGUAAAUUGUGGAUUAAGAUGUUGAACAGAUUGUAUGUAAUUGUAAUGAAAAAUUGCAUUUAAUAUAAUGCGUUGAAGUCUCAUGUUA